UCAAUCUUCAAUGCCGUUUAGCUUUGGUACC
rnacentral:piRNA from 1 species